GGGCCCGCACAAGCGGUGGAGCAUGUGGUUUAAUUCGAUGAUACGCGAGGAACCUUACCAGGGCUUAAAUGCAGUAUGACAGAUUUGGAAACAGAUUUUUUCUUCGGACAUAUUGCAAGGUGCUGCAUGGUUGUCGUCAGCUCGUGCCGUGAGGUGUCAGGUUAAGUCCUAUAACGAGCGCAACCCCUAUUUCUAGUUGCCAGCACAUAAUGGUGGGGACUCUAGAGAGACUGCCGGUGCAAACCGUGAGGAAGGUGGGGAUGACGUCAAAUCAUCACGGCCCUUACGUCCUGGGCUACACACGUGCUACAAUGGUAGGGACAGAGAGCAGCCACUUCGCGAGAAGGAGCGAAUCGCUAGUAAUCGUGGAUCAGCAUGCCACGGUGAAUACGUUCCCGGGCCUUGUACACACCGCCCGUCACAU
rnacentral:rRNA from 1 species